rnacentral:rRNA from 1 species
UACCAGCACCCCGAGUGGUCGGGACGAUUAUUGGGCCUAAAGCAUCCGUAGCCGGUUCUACAAGUCUUCCGUUAAAUCCUCUGGCUCAACCGGGGGGCUGCGUGGGAAACGGUAUGACUCGAGGACGGCAGAGGUUUCUGGAACUCAUGGUGUAGCGGUGAAAUGCGUUGAUAUCAUGGGGAACACCGAAAGCGAAGGCAAGAAACUGGGCCGCUCCUGACACUGAAACACGAAAGCGUGGGUCGCGAAUGGG